GUUCUCCUAUGACUCUGCUUUUGUUUGAAAUGAACCAUGAAGGUCCUGCUGGUUUCCAUGAAGAUAAAGGAGGUUUUAUUGUGAAGAAAUGACUCUUCCU